GGAAAGGGCUUUCCAGAAAGGAGCAGCAGGUGCAGGGCUGGGAGGCACGGAACGGCAACCAGGGAACUGUAAGCUCACAGAGCCCUGUGCACUGAGCCGAGGGAGGACACUCAGGUGAUCGGGAGGCUGUGAAGCGGAGUAACUGUCAACGAGUGGACGGCAUACUAAUAAGCCCAGGGAAGAAGAGUCAGACCCAGUGCCAGCGCAGGGGAAACGCAUCUAAUCCAGAACAGCAGACACAGCUCCUCUCCCAUGGAACACCCAGAGCAGACAUUGCCAGUCGAUCCCAGCACCCUUUCCCCGGGAGCCUGGGCUCAGCCUCAAGACUUUGCUUCCGCUUCACAAAGCUCUGCACAGCCAGUUCUCAUCAAUUGGAGUUGGUCCAAAAUAUGGAAACUCUUUGCUCUGCCUGACCCAAACCAUUCCUCUUUCCCAUAACAAUUCUGACAUUUAAAAACAGCAGAAUUCCCCAACACUCAUCCCCGGGAAAAGAAAUUUGGCAUUGUUGGUACUUUCAACUCCUGACCCUGGUCAGCUGUUGAGUCAACUUGUGGUUGAGUCUGAGCCCCAUUUCUGCAGACAGAAAGACCGCAUUUGCGUUUCUGAGUCUCAGGUUUAGGAUGAAUUUUGUAUAGUCACUGUAACAAAUUACUGCAAACGUAGUGGCUUAAAAUAAAACAAAUCCAUUAGCUUACAAUUCCAGAGAUUAAAAGUCCAAAAUGAAUCUUUAAAAAAUUUUUAAUUUAGUUUUAUUUUUUAAUUUUCCUUUUUUUUGAGACAGAGUCUCACUCUGUCGCCCAGGCUGGAGUGCAGUGGCACGAUCUUGGCUCACUGCAACCUCCACCUCCCGGGUUCAAGGGAUUCUAGUGCCUCAGCCUCCCAAAGUGCUGAAAUUAUAGGCAUAAGCCACCACGCCUGGCCCAAAAUGAAUCUUACAGGCCUGAAAUCAAGACGUCAGCAGGGUGAUGUUCCUUUUUUGUUGUUGUUUCG
rnacentral:lncRNA from 10 species